UAUUCCUGAAAGGCUUCUGACGUAAAAGCUUCUAGGGGGCAUUUAAAUUUUAUUCUAUCACCUCCUACCAGCGUAUCACUCUGACACUGCCGAUGGAGCUGAGCAAACAAACCAAGUUCACGCGUCAGGAUUGUUAAGUUACAUUUAUUGUUUCGUCACGGCUUGUUAUAAAUUGAACGGGGGAAUAAGUACACUUGUAGUGAGUGCACCAUCUGCAGGACCAAUAAAAACUGGAAACUGAUAAAGACUCCAUCGCAUUUCUAGUGGCGCUUCUCUCUAGUACCAUGGGCGCAGAAUUUCUUAUGUGGAAAUACAGACCUGCGCUUUUGGUCACGGUGCUAUUUUUUGUCGUCUUUAAGAUGCACUUAACUUCAACUGACAACAGUGUUGCACCUGUUGGUAAAUUAUAUACCAGAGGGAAUCACUGGGCAGUAGGACACCUCAUGGGGAAGAAGAGCACAGGGUCAGUGGCAAGCAAAAGAAUCAGUUACCAGCCUCUGCAAUCUCCUGAAGAAGACGAGCAGCUGGACACAUACUCACAACCAUCCAGUCUGGUCAGAGGCCUCAUCAGGGUCCUGACUGGGCAAGAGAGCCGGACUGAGGUAAUCCCACACAGGGAAUGGCUCUGGACAGGAAGAGAGAGUGGGAGGAAAGACGAGAAAGACAGGACCCAUGACAGAGGCAACUGACUUCCUGCUAGAAGCUCUCAGCAUGAAGGACAGCAACUUUAGCUGAAGAUAGGGGUCCUGUUAAAAACAUGCCUUUGUAAGCAUUUUAUUUAAGACAGUAGUACCUGCCAUUAACAAAAUUUGUCUGAAACAAAUUGGAUUGUAUGUCUGCCUUUGUUUUAGUUUUUUUUGUAUUUAUAUUUUAAUAGCCCAUUCAUGUUAUUUUUGUAAUUGAACACUUCAAUAGGUCCACUUUAUGCUAUUUCUGUUACUGAUAUCUAUAUUAUACCAGUCAUAAUCUCUAUAUUUUAAUAUACAGCAAUGCUUGUGUUUUCUCCACCAUAAUAUUUGUUACUUUUUACAUCAACGUUGUAUUAAACAUAUAUAAUAAAUUGAAACUGUUUGAAUAGGCGCAUUGGGCAUCAGAGGGCUUUCAUUUUGAGGACUUGUUUGUUUUCAAACCUUUUGCUUGUACUAUAAAUACAUAUAUAAAACAAUAUGGCUGAAAGAUAGAAAUGACAA